rnacentral:lncRNA from 1 species
CCACCUCCCUGAGAGCAGUCCCUAGCCAUGUGUCCAGACUCACCACACUUGAAACAGUUCCCGCUUCCAGCGCCUCUACCACUGCCGCCCUGAGGGCACUCCCUAGACAUGUGUCCAGACUCACCACAUUUGUAACAGUUCCCACCUCCAGCCCCUCUACCCCCACCACCACCGCCCUGAGGGCACUCCCUCGACAUGUGACCAGAUUCACCGCACUUAAAACAGUUACCACCUCCAGCCCCUCUACCACCACCGCCCCCCUGAGGACACUCCCUUGACAUAUGUCCAGAUUCACCGCACUUGAAACAGUUACCACCUCCAGCCCCUCUACCACCACCGCCCCCCUGAGGACACUCCCUCGACAUAUGUCCAGAUUCACCGCACUUGAAACAAUUACCACCUCCACCCCCUCUACCACCACCGCUGCCCUGAGGGCACUCCCUAGACAUGUGACCAGAUUCACCACACUUGUAACAAUUCCCCCCUCUACCACCACUGCCACUUCCACCAUCUCCAGAACCCCAGGCACUCUUAGUCCAUGAUUCAGUGGGCUUUGCUCCACCGCUGCCACUUCCACCAUCUCCAGUACCCCAAGCACUCUUACUCCAUGAUUCAGUGGGCUUUGCUCCACCGCUGCCACUUCCACCAUCUCCACUACCCCAAGCACUCUUACUCCAUGAUUCAGUGGGCUU